CAAUACAGAGGAGCAAACAUAACUUAUUGACAUUUAAUAGCUAUACAAAUUGACAUUUUACAUGCGGUCAUCCAUGUACAUAAAAUAACAAUAACAACUAAUCAGUAUAGUUCCACAAAGUGGGGUCUGAAGAGAUUAAUAUGUAGACGAGCAUUACUCCUAUCCGAAAGGAUAGAGAGGCUGUUUCCAAUUGAAACUCGACUCAGCGAAGUAAAGUAAAAACAGCAUAUUAGGUAACGAAAAUAGAACAGCAUAUUAGGUAACGAAACAGCCACUAAUCCAUAAAGAGAAGAAUGAAAGUCCUUUGCUACAGAUUUAGCUAACAGCGGCAAAAUCUGCCUCCUCUGUUACAGGCUACGACUUAUUGCAAAAACAUGAUUUGUUUACGGUUAAACCAAGAAACAUGAAUAACCCUUGAUUAAAAAACACGAACACCUUAGCAUAUUUGGAGGUUCAUUUAGAAUUAAACAUGUCAAAUCGAAGCACAAGAAUACAUAAAAACACUUGAUUAAACCUGGAUCUACUUAUGAGAAUUCAAUUUAGGUGUUCAAUUUCAAUCAAUCUAAUAUGUGAUGCUUCCAAAUAUACAAGUAAACUCGUAAUCUUGUACUAAACAGCAUAUUAGGGAAUGAAAGUGUUGGAAUGAAUCCAAAUAAAACACUUUAGCUUUCAUAUCGAAUUACUUGGAACAACAACAU
rnacentral:lncRNA from 1 species